UCUCGGGUCCAAAUAAGUCAAGAUGCAAUAAUUGAAGAGGUAAAGAAGUUGAUACCUGAUUUUUGCUUGUAAAGGAAUUUCUUGCUUGUUUACCUAACUGACAUGCAUCACAAAUACCUGUCUUCUCAUAUUUUAGCUUUGGUAAACCUUUAACAAGGUUCUUUGUAACUAACUUGUUAAUCAAUUCCAUAUGCACAUGCCCUAACCUU
rnacentral:lncRNA from 1 species